AUAAAUAAAAAUUCGAUAUUAGUUAAAAAAAAAAAAAAAAAGAAAAAGAAGAAAAAGAAAGAUGAAGAGAAAACUGAAAAAGAUAAAAUAGAAGAAGAAGAAGAAGGUGGAGAUGUUGAAGGGAAAGGAGAUGAGGGAAAAUAUAGAAGUAGGAAAAAUAAGGUACCAUAUACCGAGCACGCGACAGCUGCAUCCCAUCGUUGCGCUUGCGUUACACAGUGGCAGAGAGUUUACAGGCACAGUUGCAUCUUUGCAAUGACGGCUGCGCUCCCCUCCAGACUACUAUACCCCACCCUACCCUUUUUCGACCAUAGAGAGGAUAGGAGGAUAGGCAACGAGGGGGUUGGUUAAAGAAAAAGAGAGAGAGAGAGAGAGGCGGAGAGUUAGUAACUACGAAGAGUCCGUUGGAAGGAGAAGAAGAAGUAAGAGGAGGAGAGAAAUAAUAAUAGAAGGAGAAAGAGGAAAGAGAAAUAUUAAUAGAAAAGUAUACGUAGUAUUAGAAUUAGUAUUAGAAAAAUAAAAGUAGAUAUGGUCGAGGAAAUGGAAAGGAAAGGGCUUCUCUCUCUCUCUCUCUCUCUCUUUUUCUCACUCUGUCUCUCUUUCCUUCUUUUUCUCGUAGUAUGAGGAGGGCGCUAUUACGAGGAGCGAAAGGAUCUCUUUGUCCUCUCAGUGAGAAAGAAAGAGAGAGAGAGAGAGAGAGAGAGAGAGAGAGAGAGAGAGAGUGAUCCUUACAGCAGCACUGACCUGCUGCCCCACUGGCGUAGAGAGCCCGGAGGAGUCUUGAUUUAUCGAGCGUGUUCUUCUCUUGGCUUGGAUGCUGCGCUCCACAUACGUGAGUUCUUCCUCCUCCCCCUCCUUCUUCUUCUGCAUCUUCUCCUUCUCCUCUUCCUCUUCCUCUUUCUCUUUCUCUUUCUCUUCUAUCUUCUUCUUCUUCUUCUUCUUCUUCUUUUUCUUCUUCGUCGCCGUCGUCGUCGUCGCCGUCGUUGUCGUCGUUGUCGUCGUCGUCGUCGUCGUUGUCGUCGUUGUCGUCGUUGUCGUCUUUCUCUUCGUCCUUCCUUUACAGCUCUUCUGUCCCUUCACUUUUUACUCUAUCCUUAGGCACACGUCGGCCGCUAAUUGCUUCGUUCCCUUUAUCGACGAUAAAUUCUCGGUGCGAAGCGUUUUAAACCGGCUAGUGUUCUGCCGAUCGAUUGCGUUUUUUACUUAGAGAGUGUGUUGAGUGAAAGAGAGAGAGAGAGAGAGAGAGAGAGAGAGAGAGAGAGAGAGAGAGAGAGAAUUAUGAUAGAAGACAAGUCAUCGUUAUAGACCAUGUCCUCGUUUAAAACGAGCAAACAUAGGGGAAGUUAUGAGACGAUAAAUCCUCGAAACUGUUUCCUACUUUCUUCUCUAACAUAUAUCUGCCGAAGAAUGAUAUUGUUUUAUUAAAAGAAAAUAAAAAAAAAAAGAAGAAGAAGAAGAAGAAGAAAAAGGAAAGAAUAAAAAUAAAAUUAAGAAAGAAAUGUGGAGGGAUAAAAAAGAGUUACGUCUACUACUUGAAUCAUAUUUUUAUAUACGUAUAUAUAUAUAUGUUUAUAUUUAUAUUUAUAAAAAGAGAUAGAUAGAUAGAUGGAGAGAGAGAGAGAGAAUGUAAAAAUAUUUUUAACUUCGAUAUAAUAUAAUUCAACCGAUGCGUACAUAAUCGACACAAAAGCGAUCUGUCAAUUCAUGCGCUAAAUUUUUCGCAUGUAGGUCAGAGUGUUAUAUAAACAGGAUGAUUAUAGAUCGUGUGGAAGGAAGGAAGGACGAACGGAAGAAGAAGAAGAAGAAGAAGAAGAAAAGAAGUUUCGUUUCCAUUGCCGACCAUUAAACCAGGGAUGAUAAAUUUUUAUAUACGCCUGUUCCAACGUUAAUAGUCACUUACUUUCGGUCGACAUUCUUUUGAAACCUGUUUUUCGUGAAACUCGCCUAUAAGAAGCUCGUACUUUGACCAGAGACGUAUCUAUAGAAAAUCGAACAUUUUUCGAACACCUUUCUCUCUUCUUAUAUUAUUAUUCAUACGAAAUUAUAUGGUUGAGAUGUU